GAGAGGGAGGAGCUUCCUUCCCUCAACUCUGGUCCCAGGGAAGGCUGCCUCCAGUACUGCAUUCGGACAUAAUGGAGACAUCCAGAAACCAGAGGAGCAGCAAACCUCACUUCAAACUGGAAUUUGAUGCAGGUGAGAUGGUGACUGUCCUGAAUCGGUGCCUCGGUGCAGUAAUGGACUGGAAGAAGAUAUUUGCAUUGCUAUGAUUGCACCGCAUCAGAAGAGUAUUGUAUUUCUUUACUUCUGGCAGACCAGCUUGCACCAAUUACGGCUGGGGUAACAAGAUUUUGGGCAGCUGCAUGAAAGCUGAGACAGGAGUUAGUUGGUAUAUUAAUAAUUGAGAUUUUUACAUAUAUGUUAUGAUGUUUCUUCCACCCAGCUCUGUUGUUUUGGUUUUUAACUGCUGGUUGUUGAUUGUAAUAAAGUUUCAUUCAUUCAUUCACUCUA